rnacentral:lncRNA from 1 species
CUCCUCUUCAAUGGCUCUGCUUGGGCAAGUAAAAUGGUCAGAGUGAUGUGUUCUCUCAUUUGUGUCUGGGAAUAGCUAGCCAACUUUAGCCAGUUAGUUUGGGUGCUUUACUGCGGUUGUGAGGUCAAUACGCUCGGAUCAAACCUACUCCUCGGCCAGAGCGUCCAGUGUGCGCUCUGAACGCUCCAAGAGCGAAAUGCUCUGAAUUUAUGAACGGACAAUCUGACAACGCCCUGAAUUUACGAGUGCACUCUGGCACACCAGAGUGAAUUUACGAACACAUUGUUACAUUUAGUUCCAUUACAUUUACUACCCAAUCAGACGUGUAGAUUUACCCAAAUACGGAAGUGAACCUAUGACGGCAGUACUACCCGGAAGUUUCUAGCGUCACCGGGCAAGUUGAAGAAUCGAUUUGUCCACAAAGUUUAAAAUGCAACGUGAAAAGAGUGUCAAAGCUAAAGAAGUGAUUGAAUCACUUUGUAAAGUUCUAUAUUCACUAGGUUUGGAGUGUGUACCUAGUGCAGAAACGUUCAGACGGGCCAAGUUUAACAAAGGAGAGGAUGUGGUCUCACUGAGUAGCCCCAGAGAGGGAGGCUCCCUUGGGGAUGUGGAUGGCCAAGGAGGCCUGAAGGAAGACCGACUCCUCAGGAGACUCCAAUGGCAGUAUGGGAAACUCAGGUUCCAGUGGCGGAGGUUGCUCUCCAUUCGAGAGGAAAGAGCUAGACUCCUUCACCAGGUCCUUUCCUCCAGCACAAUGCCCUCCACGUCCACCUCCCAGCCCUCUUCUGAUGACCAUCACAGCAUGUGCUCAACUGCCCUGAAAAAGGAGGUGGAGCGUCUACAGACUCUCAGUCAGCUGUUGGAGGCCUACCUGGAGUGGAAGAGACAGGAGCCACUCUUCUGGUGCUGGAUGGAUAGUGUUGUGGACAGCCAGCUCUCAGACCUGAGAGAGGAGGACACUGUAGAGAACAUGUCACCUGUACACCAAGUUGUCAAUAGGUGCUUUCCCUACGGUUACAAGGACAAGGAGGGUCUGGAACAACUGGACAACAUGCUGCUGAGGCUGCAGACAGGGCUGAAGGACACAUACACAAGACAGAGCAGAAAAGCGCAGAGUGUUCUUCAAGACGUUGAGGAGUUGGAGGAGAUUGAGAGGAGAGUGGCUCUCAGGCUGCAUGGCUUGGCUGAGUCCUGUACUUCAACUCCUACAUCUGGUUGCUGUAGUUACAGGCCAAGUCUCCAGGGGCCACAGCCACUUCCCAACCACCACCAGUCUUGGAGGUCAGGGUCUGUGCUCCCACAAGCCUGUGACGGGGCAGUGCUGCCAGGCAAGGUGUCUGGGACGGGCACGGUGAUGGUCCAAGUCCAGGCCUCCUCACUGAUUGUCGAGCUGCAGCAGAGAGAGGGCUUCCUGCUGGGGGAACUGGGCCAGAUGAGGCAGGCGAAGCGGGGACAGAUCCAGGAGAAGACAGCCAGCUGGCUGGAGGGGGCUGGAGUUGUCCUCAUCCCCCCUCUCCCUCUCAAGAGAUAAACACUAACAGGAUGCUACUUCAGGGUGUCUGUGUGUGCAAGCGAGUGAACAGGAUGCUGUUCAGCUUGGUGGCUGACAGACUGUCUGUCCUAGAAAUAGAAUGACUAGAAGGUGCAAAGCUGCUCGGCAAUUUGUGGCUAUCUGUUCUAUUAAUUAUAUUUCUACGGCUACUGCUAAUAUAUUGUGAUGGGAUGGACUGCAUGUGAUAUAUUUCAAAUGACAUCUGUUGAUAUCAAGAUAUUUGUGUGUGUUGAUGUAAUCCACUGUGGGAGAGAACAUAAACACCUGUGUGGGCUGGCUGUUAAGUUGCUGUGUUGUUUUUUUUCUUGUGUCUUAUCUUUUCUCGGUGCCAAGCUUUCAGGAGAGAAAACAGUCUUAAAGUUCUGAAGUAGGUCAGGGUUUAGGAUGUUCUCUCACUGAAGUUGGUUUAUAAGUAGACCGCCUGGCGAAUGCUCCCUCCGUCUCAGCCUCACACUGAUUUAGCUGAUGUUACCCGUCCUGGCCUCACCCCUCAGAGGAUUCAUCCUAGUGCCUUCACCUCUUCAAAUUUCAGGGUGUGUGUGCGUGUGUCAGUAACCAGGAAGUAACAAGCAUUUCAUGCAGAUGAAUUACCUAAUGUAUGGAGAGAAAAAAAGUCACGAUCUGACUGAUGGAAACAGGAUAUGCCGGUCCAAUUUUAUAAAUGCCUACAGACAAUUUGUUUGUUCAACAUGGUGAGAUCUAUUUGUGUCAGUAAAAUGUAUUAUUG